AACGAACGCUGGCGGCAGGCUUAACACAUGCAAGUCGAGCGCCCCGCAAGGGGAGCGGCGGACGGGUGAGUAACGCGUGGGAAUCUACCUAGUUCUACGGAACAACACAGGGAAACUUGUGCUAAUACCGUAUACGCCCUACGGGGGAAAGAUUUAUCGGAAUUAGAUGAGCCCGCGUUGGAUUAGCUAGUUGGUGGGGUAAUGGCCUACCAAGGCGACGAUCCAUAGCUGGUCUGAGAGGAUGAUCAGCCACACUGGGACUGAGACACGGCCCAGACUCCUACGGGAGGCAGCAGUGGGGAAUAUUGGACAAUGGGCGAAAGCCUGAUCCAGCCAUGCCGCGUGAGUGAUGAAGGCCUUAGGGUUGUAAAGCUCUUUCAGUAGGGAAGAUAAUGACGGUACCUACAGAAGAAGCCCCGGCUAACUUCGUGCCAGCCGCCGCCGUAACAC
rnacentral:rRNA from 1 species